UAGAUGUUGCCUGCUAGUUAAACCCCCAAAAAAAUAGAAAUAUUGUCAUACCUUGUAAAUUCAUUUAAAGGUACUGAAGUCAAUGUCGCAGUGGUGGAACUCCUGACAAAGACCAUGUUUGUCAACGAUGUCAUGAAGAUGUCUCACCUCGGACAGACCAGUGGCGUGGAAGUUUUUCACAGUGUGGUGAAUCACUUUGCCCCAAAGAUGUACUACUUCUCGUACAAAGGAAUGAAAAGCAGAAUAAUUCUUGCUGCUAUGCAUUAUAAUGAAAAUGCUGGCAGACCACAAAAAAUGACAAAGGAAGGAAUACACUCCUACUGUAUCGUUUAUCCCAAAUAUGAGUGGUGGGUAUUCUCUGAGAAAGAUACUGGUGGAUGCAACUUAUUGUAAGUUAUGAAAUAAAAAGUAAUUCCAGGCAGAUGCAUUACAUACUGAGU